GAUGAACGCUGGCGGCGUGCCUAAUACAUGCAAGUCGAGCGAACAGAUGAGGAGCUUGCUCCUCUGACGUUAGCGGCGGACGGGUGAGUAACACGUGGAUAACCUACCUAUAAGACUGGGAUAACUUCGGGAAACCGGAGCUAAUACCGGAUAAUAUAUUGAACCGCAUGGUUCAAUAGUGAAAGACGGUUUUGCUGUCACUUAUAGAUGGAUCCGCGCCGCAUUAGCUAGUUGGUAAGGUAACGGCUUACCGAGGCAACGAUGCGUAGCCGACCUGAGAGGGUGAUCGGCCACACUGGAACUGAGACACGGUCCAGACUCCUACGGGAGGCAGCAGUAGGGAAUCUUCCGCGAUGGGCGAAAGCCUGACGGAGCAACGCCGCGUGAGUGAUGAAGGUCUUCGGAUCGUAAAACUCUGUUAUUAGGGAAGAACAAAUGUGUAAGUAACUAUGCACGUCUUGACGGUACCUAAUCAGAAAGCCACGGCUAACUACG
rnacentral:rRNA from 1 species